rnacentral:rRNA from 1 species
CUUAGUGGCGGACGGGCGAGUAACGCGUGAGUAACCUGCCUUUCAGUGGGGAAUAACGACUGGAAACGGUCGCUAAUACCGCAUAAUGUAGCGAGGUCGCCUGGCCAUGCUACCAAAGGAGCAAUUCGCUGAAAGAUGGACUCGCGUCCGAUUAGCUAGUUGGUGAGGUAAUGGCUCACCAAGGCGACGAUCGGUAGCCGAACUGAGAGGUUGAUCGGCCGCAUUGGGACUGAGACACGGCCCAGACUCCUACGGGAGGCAGCAGUGGGGGAUAUUGCACAAUGGGGGAAACCCUGAUGCAGCAAUGCCGCGUGAGGGAAGAAGGUCUUCGGAUUGUAAACCUAAGUAGUCAGAGACGAAUAAAUGACGGUACCUGAAAAGUAAGCUCCGGCUAACUACGUGCCAGCAGCCGCGGUAAUACGUAGGGAGCGAGCGUUGUCCGGAUUUACUGGGCGUAAAGGGUGCGUAGGCGGGUCUUCAAGUCAGGCGUGAAAUACCAGGGCUCAACUCUGGGGCUGCGCUUGAAACUGUAGAUCUUGAGUGAAGUAGAGGUAGGCGGAAUUCCUAGUGUAGCGGUGAAAUGCGUAGAUAUUAGGAGGAACACCAAUGGCGAAGGCGGCCUACUGGGCUUUAACUGACGCUGAGGCACGAAAGCAUGGGGAGCAAACAGGAUUAGAUACCCUGGUAGUCCAUGCCGUAAACGAUGAUUGCUAGGUGUGGGGGGACUGACCCCUUCCGUGCCGGAGUAAACACAAUAAGCAAUCCACCUGGGGAGUACGACCGCAAGGUGAAACUCAAAGGAUCUUGCUGAAA